rnacentral:rRNA from 1 species
UGCGGAGGGUGCAAGCGUUGUCCGGAUUUAUUGGGUUUAAAGGGUGCGUAGGCGGUCUUUUAAGUCAGUGGUGAAAUCCUCCAGCUCAACUGGAGAACUGCCAUUGAUACUGGAAGACUUGAGUAUAGUUGAGGUAGGCGGAAUUGACAGUGUAGCGGUGAAAUGCAUAGAUAUUGUCAAGAACACCGAUUGCGAAGGCAGCUUACUAAACUAUAACUGACGCUGAGGCACGAAAGUGCGGGGAUCAAACAGG